UACGUAGGGGGCAAGCGUUGUCCGGAUUUACUGGGCUUAAAGCGUACGUAGGCGGAUGUGCAGGCAUCGUGUGAAAUCCCCUGGCUCAACCAGGGAACUGCUCGGUGAACCGCACGUCUUGAGGCAAGUAGAGGCUGUCGGAACGAUAGGUGGAGCGGUGAAAUGCGUAGAUAUCUAUCGGAACGCCGAAGGUGAAAACAGGCAGCUGGGCUUGAUCUGACGCUGAGGUACGAAGACGUGGGGGAGCGAACGGG
rnacentral:rRNA from 1 species